UAGGGAAUCUUCCGCAAUGGACGCAAGUCUGACGGAGCAACGCCGCGUGAGUGAAGAAGGAUUUCGGUUCGUAAAACUCUGUUGUUAGAGAAGAACAGCGCAUAGAGUAACUGUUAUGCGUGUGACGGUAUCUAACCAGAAAGCCACGGCUAACUACGUGCCAGCAGCCGCGGUAAUACGUAGGUGGCAAGCGUUGUCCGGAUUUAUUGGGCGUAAAGCGAGCGCAGGCGGUCAAUUAAGUCUGAUGUGAAAGCCCCCGGCUCAACCGGGGAGGGUCAUUGGAAACUGGUUGACUUGAGUGCAGAAGAGGAGAGUGGAAUUCCAUGUGUAGCGGUGAAAUGCGUAGAUAUAUGGAGGAACACCAGAGGCGAAGGCGACUCUCUGGUCUGUAACUGACGCUGAGGUUCGAAAGCGUGGGUAGCAAACAGG
rnacentral:rRNA from 1 species